ACUGCCCGUAGAGGAACUGUAGAAGAUGACUACGAAACAUUCCAUCGUUCAGUUGGAAAAAUUCGUAAAACUUUUGUCUUCCAAAAACCUCCCAAAGCUUCCAGGUGGCGAUGGAGAUGUUCUAGUUCUGAGCAAGAAUCCUGAUGGAACAAAAAGAACCGUCUGGGGCCCACCAUUAUUCAGGCCAUCUGGAACCGUAGUCAUCACUGGUCACCCUGUUAAGCUUGGCCGACAGACGAUUGAGGGUCCAAGCCUUCAUGCGUUACUUCGUCGUGGCACACCCAAUCAUAAGGAGUGGGUGACUGAUGAGCGAUGGUAUAAUCCUGCAAUCCGUCUCGAAUUCCAGACGUUACAUCACAGAGGCCUGCCUGGAGUCUACAAGACGAUGUCAUCCUUCCCGUUGAAGAUGGCGGGAAAUGGAAUCUAUCGCAUGAGGAAGCCGCACUAUGGGUGGAAGAGAUGGUGCGAUGCUCACGAUCCAGGCGAGUUGACACAGUUCAGGUCGGGCAAAACCUGUUCACAGAUUCUCCUACACCGCUGAUAUGGGGGCCUCCGCUGAGUACACUUUCUUUUGAAGAUUACGAUGAAUUCAUGUGGGAUCUGGAGCGGUCUACAAGGAAUGCGAACUAUGCUAUAAGCAGACCAGAUCCGUCGAGCACCAGCUGUACUCGAAUUUUACUGUCUAUUGACAAAGUAAUAGAAUACAGGAGCAGAUACUUUGGACACCCCUGCAUCGUAGACAUACGAUUCCUUCUGGAUGGCCAGGCCGAUGUUCGGAAGGUAAUUAUAGAAAAGUGUGUUUUCAGACCUCAGCUCAACUUGUAAGCGCACACUAUGGGUUUCCUAUCUACGCGUGUCAGCGAUUAAUGAAAUUCUCCUGAUCUCCUGAUCCUGAUCAUCUGUGUCACCUGAUUUCCUGAACUUGUACUCUGUGUUAUCAUUAAAUUUUAUCCUUCACUUUUUUUGUUGUUGUAUUUUGUUAUUGUUUUUCUCCUUUUGAAUUGAGUUUCUUGACUGAGUUCGUUGAAAAUGAUUUAUUUUAUUUGAGCCUCUAAAUCCGGAGAGGGGGCUUAUGUCAUUUGGCGCAGUAUUGAGAAAAUGCAUUUAUGUACUAGUCAAGAUUUAUUUAUUUAUAUAUAUUUCAUUCAAUUCGUGGCCCAUGA